rnacentral:rRNA from 1 species
CUCCUACGGGAGGCAGCAGUGGGGAAUUUUGCGCAAUGGGGGAAACCCUGACGCAGCAACGCCGCGUGGAGGAUGAAGCCCCUUGGGGCGUAAACUCCUUUCGAUCGGGACGAUAAUGACGGUACCGAGAGAAGAAGCCCCGGCUAACUUCGUUGCCGGCAGCCGCGGUAAUAC